rnacentral:tRNA from 1 species
CGUUCGCGUAGUCGACGAAGUAGCCGAUGUGCUCACGCCACAGCUCGAGGAACGCGGUGCCGUUCUCCUCGCCAGCGAGCGA